rnacentral:misc_RNA from 1 species
GAAAUGCGAUAAGUAGUGUGAAUUGCAGAAUUCAGUGAAUCAUCGAAUCUUUGAACGCACAUUGCGCCCUUUGGUAUUCCUUAGGGCAUGCCUGUUCGAGCGUCAUUUAAACCCUUCAAGCUCAGCUUGGUGUUGGGUGACUGUCCGCCGCCGCCCCCUGGGGUGGGGUUGCGGACUCGCCCCAAAUCCAUUGGCAGCCCACGCGGUGGUGGCUUCGAGCGCAGCACAGUCGGCGCCCGGAGCUCUGGUGGGAUGGCGUCCAGCAAGCUAUAUUUUCAGGCUUGACCUCGGAUCAGGUAGGGAUACCCGCUGAACUUAAGC